rnacentral:rRNA from 1 species
UACGUAGGGUGCGAGCGUUAAUCGGAAUUACUGGGCGUAAAGCGUGCGCAGGCGGUUCGUUGUGUCUGAUGUGAAAGCCCCGGGCUCAACCUGGGAAUGGCAUUGGAAACUGGCGAGCUAGAGUGUGGCAGAGGGGGGUGGAAUUCCGCGUGUAGCAGUGAAAUGCGUAGAGAUGCGGAGGAACACCAGUGGCGAAGGCGGCUACCUGGACCGGUUCUGACGCUGAUGCGCGAAAGCGUGGGUAGCAAACAGG